UGAUGGAUUUUAGAUGAAAAAACUGUGA
rnacentral:piRNA from 1 species